rnacentral:rRNA from 1 species
AGAGUUUGAUCAUGGCUCAGAAUCAACGCUGGCGGCGUGCCUAACACAUGCAAGUCGAACGCGAAAGGGGCUUCGGCCCUGAGUAGAGUGGCGAACGGGUGAGUAACACGUGGGUGAUCUACCUUCGAGUGGGGGAUAACGUUCCGAAAGGAACGCUAAUACCGCAUGACGUUCUGGGUUUAAAGACCUGGAAACCAAAGCCGGGGACCGCAAGGCCUGGCGCUUGAAGAGGAGCCCGCGUCCGAUUAGCUAGUUGGCGGGGUAAUGGCCCACCAAGGCGACGAUCGGUAGCCGGCCUGAGAGGGCGGACGGCCACACUGGAACUGAGACACGGCCCAGACUCCUACGGGAGGCAGCAGUGGGGAAUAUUGCACAAUGGGCGCAAGCCUGAUGCAGCAACGCCGCGUGCGGGAUGACGGCCUUCGGGUUGUAAACCGCUUUUAGUAGGGAAGAAGGGCUUCGGCUUGACGGUACCUGCAGAAAAAGGACCGGCUAACUACGUGCCAGCAGCCGCGGUAAUACGUAGGGUCCGAGCGUUGUCCGGAAUUAUUGGGCGUAAAGAGCUCGUAGGCGGUUUGUCGCGUCUGCUGUGAAAACUAGAGGCUCAACCUCUAGCCUGCAGUGGGUACGGGCAGACUUGAGUGGUGUAGGGGAGACUGGAAUUCCUGGUGUAGCGGUGGAAUGCGCAGAUAUCAGGAGGAACACCGAUGGCGAAGGCAGGUCUCUGGGCACUUACUGACGCUGAGGAGCGAAAGCGUGGGGAGCGAACAGGAUUAGAUACCCUGGUAGUCCACGCCGUAAACGUUGGGCGCUAGAUGUGGGGACCUUUCCACGGUUUCCGUGUCGUAGCUAACGCAUUAAGCGCCCCGCCU